GAUGAAGAACGCAGCGAAAUGCGAUACGUAGUGUGAAUUGCAGAAAUACGUGAACCAUCGAAUCUUUGAACGCAUAUUGCGCCCCUUGGUAUUCCGAGGGGCAUGCCUGUUCGAGCGUCAUUAUAACCCUCAAGCUCAGCUUGGUGUUGGGGCCUGCUGCACUGGCAGCCCUUAAAAUCAGUGGCGGCGCCAUCUGGCUCUAAGCGUAGUAAUUCUUCUCGCUAUGGAGUCCUGGUGGACGCUUGCCAUCAACCCCCAAUUUUUCUAUGGUUGACCUCGGAUCAGGUAGGGAUACCCGCUGAACUUAAGCAUAUCAAUAAGCGGAGGA
rnacentral:misc_RNA from 1 species